UGCGUAGGGUGCGAGCGUUGUCCGGAAUUAUUGGGCGUAAAGAGCUUGUAGGCGGUUUGUCGCGUCUGCCGUGAAAAUCCGAGGCUCAACCUCGGACUUGCGGUGGGUACGGGCAGACUAGAGUGUGGUAGGGGAGACUGGAAUUCCUGGUGUAGCGGUGAAAUGCGCAGAUAUCAGGAGGAACACCGAUGGCGAAGGCAGGUCUCUGGGCCACUACUGACGCUGAGAAGCGAAAGCAUGGGGAGCGAACAGG
rnacentral:rRNA from 1 species